AGGUAGCAUAAUCAUUAGUCAUUUAAUUGAUGACUUGUAUGAAAGAUUGGAUGAAAUAUAAACUGUCUCUUAAUUAAAUAUAGAAUUUAAUUUUUUAAUUAAAAAGUUAAAAUAAAUUAAAAAGACGAGAAGACCCUAUAGAGUUUUAUAAUUAGUUUAAUUGAGAUUAUUUAAAUAAAAAAAAAAAUUAAAAUUAAAUUAAUUAUUUUGUUGGGGUGAUAGAAAAAUAUAUUUAACUUUUUUUUAAUUAAAAACAUUUAUAAGUGAUUAAAUGAUCCAAUAUUAUUGAUUAUAAGAAAAAAUUACCUUAGGGAUAACAGCGUAAUUUUUUUUUUUAGUUCAAAUAAUAAAAAGAGUUUGCGACCUCGAUGUUGGAUUAAGAUAAAAUUUAAAUGCAGAAG
rnacentral:rRNA from 1 species